ensembl:lncRNA
GGGGGUUUGUUGAGGUGGCUUAGUUGUAGCGACGAGUUUUGCGAUGGUGACAGAGAGGACAGGUUCUUGAUUGAGGGGCAUCCGCUGACCCCCGAGGGGGCUGGAGACCCUGAAGUUAGAAUGGAGGAGGCCGAUGAGGAGGUGUCCUAUUUUGAGAAAGUCCCUAAACGUGGCAACGAGGUGAUGAUAAGAAGUGACGAGAUUAAAAAGGAUGCGCAAGACAGGGAAAGGAAAGAGGACGCGUGUGAUUACAAGCAAGAGGGCAUGACCGUCGAACAAGAAGAAGCUGUUCUCCCUCCGUGCUGUGAGAACAGGCUUGAAGGUCCUGGUGGAGAUGGACCAGUGAGGGAGUUUCCAGAAAUAUCGGUGCAAAAUCUGCAGGAUCUUAUUGCUGAAGUUGAUAGUGAGAAACUUGGAGAGAAAAUGAAUAUUUUCUCAGGGGAGGAGCACCAAGAUGCAGGUGAGAGCUUUGCAGAUUAUCCCUCAGACUUUUCCUCAUGUGAAUAUGUAGAAGAGGGAGGUAAAAACCAAGAUAUGAAGCGCCAGUCAGAAGCAUUGGCUUGUGCAUCCGGCAGCAGUUCAAUUGUUCAGCAGAACACCUUCCUGGAAGAAUCAGAUGGGAUGCAGAUGGGAGGAGCGGAGGACUCUGAUGAGGAGGGGGACAGGAACCGGCACAGCAGAUAUUUAGAACAGGAAGCCAAUGAGCUCAGCAGCGUGGACGUGGCUAAUGGAGAGAAACGCAUGGUGGAGAACGUGUCUGGCAACGCAUUUGCAACGGGGCUUGAUGAUGGCAGUGCGACAAGUGACAGUGAAUCCUUCACCUCCAGUGACGAUGAGGUGCAAGAAAAAAGGAGCGACGAAGAACUCUUUGGUAGUACGCAUCUACAAGAUCAACUGGAGGAGACUCGCGGUGGCAGCAGAGCAUCAUUUUCUGAUUGCUACGACAGAAUGGAUCCGGCAGAUUUCAACAAUCACUUUAACCCAGAGCUGUUAACAGCUGACCCUCUUUUGUCUGAAGACAUGUUAACCACAGAGGACGCAGACACGCCGCUUUCAGACGCGACUCUGCGUCCUGCAGAAGACGCCAACAGCUACUCGGUGGUACAGGAAGGGGAUGCAAAAACAAGCAAGUCCUCUCACCAGGGAUCGCUGGACGAUAACUUCGUCUUCAACACGGAACCUGAAGCUUGUGGAAGCUUCGCUGAGACAGGACAGCUGGGAGACGACGAGUGCGAAGAGGAGAGCGACUGGCAACAAGAGCAGCAGAGAAUCAAGUCGUUCUACGAGUUUUAUGAUGACAGCGAUGUAGAGAAUGAAAGAGGGGGAAGACUGGUAAAAGUUCAGUUUUGUGCAGAUCCAUUAUCGCAAGUCAUUCACUAUGAAACUGACAGCAGUGACAGAGCUUCACUCAGCAGCUCCAUAGAUGGGGAGGAGGACCUGAACUCUGCAGACACGUCUGAGGUUUGCACCUGGACACAUGAGCACAUUCACACAAAACUGGGUUUCUUAGAGACUUAGAGUCUCCAGAGAACGUACCAAUCAGAUAUCAUCAACACUCAUAUUUGUACAAGCAAACACAAAGUGUGUCUUCACAGGCUUUUAUUGGACUUUCACGUUGUUCCUUAGUUCCUGAAUUGUUUGGUUCAUUUUGCCUGUCUGUCCUUUGUUCCCGCAGUGCUCCAACAUGCUGAAGCCGACACUGAAGAUUGGUCUCGCGAUACUGACUGGACUGCUCAUGUUCUGGUUUGUCACAGACCGAGUGGGCUGCUUUGACCAUGUGUUUUUCUUUUAAGGUUAAAAACCUUAAACCUAAUUUGGGGGUCAUAGAAAUAUGUUUAUCUGCUUACGGCUGAUCAACGAAAGAUCCAAAAUGAUGUAAUGUCUUAAAUACGUGCUGAACUUUGAAAUGACGGUUUUCUUGUGUAUGUUACUAAAUAUGUUUUUAAUAAAGAUAUAUAUUUUUCUUUACAAUGAUGCUGAUGUUUUGUGGACUGUAGAUAAGUCAUAUUCUACCUUUAUUUGGAUGUAACAUUUUGAUUAUAUGAGUGCUAAAUGGGCCUUAAUCUGACAUAACUUACAUUUACCAAAGUACUUUACAGGGUUGAGAUACUUCUCCUUCUAUUAGAGGAGCUGUGUAACUCUUGACAUGUUAUGCCCUUUGCAAGGACAGAUAUAUUUACUUGCUUUGCAUAUACAAGUUUUUACAUACGAAAUUGAAAAAUAAAGAUACACUGCUUCCAUUUAUAAGACGACACGUAAACGGGUU